GUAGGUGGCAAGCGUUGUCCGGAUUUACUGGGCGUAAAGAGCGCGCAGGCGGCCAAGUAAGUCGAAUGUGAAAGCCCCCGGCUCAACUGGGGAAGGUCAUUCGAUACUGCCUGGCUUGAAGAUGGGAGAGGGAAGCGGAAUUUCAGGUGUAGUGGUGAAAUGCGUAGAUAUCUGAAGGAACACCAGUGGCGAAGGCGGCUUUCUGGCCCAUUCUUGACGCUGAGGCGCGAAAGCUAGGGGAGCGAACGGGGGAUUAGAUACCCCGGUAGUCCUAGCCGUAAACGAUGAACACUAGAUGUUGGUGGUAUCAACCCCCCGGCCAGUGUCGCAGCUAACGCAUUAAGUGUUCCGCCUGGGGAUACGGCCGCAAGGCUA
rnacentral:rRNA from 1 species